rnacentral:rRNA from 2 species
CUAACCAAGGAUUCCCUUAGUACGGCGAGUGAAGAGGGAUGAGCCCAGCACCGAAGCCUGCGGCAGAGUUGCUGUUAGGCAAUGUGGUGUGUGGGUCGACCAGCGGGAUUGUGGCUCCACUCGAAGUCCAGCAUUGAGUAUGGUUUUCACUGGAUUUGGCCCAUAGAGGGUGAGAGGCCCGUACGUGUGGAGGUAGAAGCAUGUAACACAGUUCACCAGGUCGGCCUCAGAGUCGGGUUGUUUGAGAUUGCAGCCCAAAGUGGGUGGUAAACUCCAUCCAAGGCUAAAUACAGGCACGAGUCCGAUAGCGAACAAGUACCGUGAGGGAAAGUUGAAAAGUACUCUGAAGAGAGAGUAAACAGUACGUGAAGCCGCAUGCAGGUAAACGGGUGGCGUCAAGCUGUGAGCCCUGAGAAUUCAGCUGGCUGGGACGACCGCACGUGGUGGUCUGCUUCCCUGCUGGGAGUGGGGCACGGCGCUAGUAGUGGGCUGUUUAGUUGGCACUGCUUUUUGGUUGUCAGUUUCGACUGUUAGCCAGAGGUGUGUCGGUUGUGCGGCCGAUGCUGCUGGCGUGGUUGCUACGUGUGCCGGGUGGGUGCCGGAGCGUGCCGCUCGUUGGUGUGAAGUCGGCUAGUCAGUGCAUUUUCUCAGUGGUGAACACCACGAUCGAUGGCAUUGCCAGUCUGCUGCGGUCAAGUCGUGCUCUCUUGGCACCACCUCGGCUGAGCUGGUUCGCCAGCCCUAGUCGAGGGUCAGGAGGGUGCGAUCACAGGCAGUUUGAGUGGACGGCGUAGUGGUGUCUCGGCAUUGCUGCGUGUUAUCGUGCGCUCACUGCCAACGAGGUGUUGCUUUGCACGGUGCUAUGAUCGCUGUGUCUCAGCGCCUCGGUGGGCUGCGGUAGUGCAAGUGACUGUGCAAGGCAUCGUCAGUGUCCAUCUCAUCUGUCGCUUGCGACAGAGAGGUAUUCGGCAGGCACAUCAUGGGUGCGGUGACAGUGGAGCGCGCUGGAGUCUGUGCGCGUUGGGUUUGGUUGUCGUGUUGCCCGCGCAAAGUGGGUCCGGCGAUGGUCUGACGCGAUUCAGCAGACGCUAGUACGCUGUUCCAAGUGCAUGUGAUACCGGGGAUGUAAUAAUCGGUGGUGCUGCGGUA